AAAAAAUAUUGUUCGUCAUACGGUCAAACAAAAUUUUUCUGACUAAUAACGAAAUAUACUAUGUGAGGAGAGGAAUGAAACUGCUGAGAAAGCCAAGGCUGAUCAUAAAAUUAAGGGGAGAUUACAGAAGGACCAGUUGAGUGGACUUUAUCAUGGAAAAAAUAGAAAUGAAAUCAUCAAGGGAAAGAAUUUUCACAAAGUGCAAAACAUCACCGAUUCCGGGUCACCACUCAUCUAAUCACCAGAUCCUAGUCCAUCUACACCACGUGACUAGUAAUAGUAGCAGAAGGUGCCCUCCAGAGAAGCCCUCGAAAAGAUGUUGAAAGAGUCUAGGAGCUAUUAACAACGAGGGCUACAUCCUGUCGAGGUAUACCAGACACCAGGUCGUAAAAAAAUGCUGGGUGGGAGUUCAUUCCUUGUUGAACUGUUGCUCUUUGGGGUCGUGGGCUGAGAAGCAAGUAAUGUGGGAGAAGUUGGCCUGAGCGUACCAUCCUUGAGAAAAGAUAUUUUACAGAUUAGCGUUGGGGGAUGCAACGAAACAAUUAUAUCCCCACCUGUGAUAAGAGCACCGUCAACCAUCACAAUUCAGGUCAAGUCAAGAGAUCCAAUUCAAUCAACCCCAACGACAAGAGCGUUCGUAAUCCCAGCCCCAAGUGGACACAUCCUUCAGAAUAUCAGAACCAGAAUUUCGGAACGUGAAAACAGCACAUCAGCUCUAUAUCAGUGGACAACUUUUAGGGGAUUGUCCAGUGCAUCUAUGGAAAAUUGAACCCCUCAAUGAAGAACGAGUUAUUGUCGUGAUCGUGAUGCCAGAGAAAAUUCAAACCAAGUACAAUAGACGUUCCAAAUGUAAAGUUAUGAUUGGAAAUGCUAAAAUUGGAAUUUGGAACAAUCAUUCUUGAAAUCAUUCGAAAUCCCUUCAUACAAUUUCUAAUCACUUAAUUCAUCAUUUAAUUACAGGUGGAAAAACAUUUAUGGGGGCUGAUGACCAACAGUGAUAUUUCACCCCUUAAGGCCCUAAUUUCCUCUCACAUCGUUUUUAUCUCUAUAUUAAUAAUAUUAGAUGAUAAGAUAAAUGAGAAAACAAUGAAAAAAUAAUUAAUGAACUGCAUUU